CUUGCUCUGCUUGCUCUCCUUACUUUGGGUUAUUUAAGGCUGCUUAUUUGCAUGGAAUAGUGUUAUGAGUGUUUUCUAGGCUUUGACUGUUUACUUUUGCCAAAGUAAAAUUAGCACUUUCUACUUCACCACCCAAAUACCAAAGGAGAAGUGUCCAAACUUUAGCCCUCAGUCUGAAGGGAACACUGAAUUUUGGAAGUGUCCCUCAUGCUAACAGCAAGCUGACUUGAAAUCCUGUGUCUGACCAACUCCAGACUUUCUGGGAUUUGAAAACAACUUCAGAUUUGAUAUUUGGCCUAGUUUGUUAACGAAAAUGGAAAACUGCAUUUCCUCAGCCUUCCUGAAGAAGAGCCCAUGAACCUGAUGAACUUGAGAUAAAAACAAGGACUAGCAGGAUGCUAUGUCCCAUCUCGGACGAGGUCAGCAGGAGUUUUGAGCAACAUGGGACCGGCCCCUCUAGCUGGAAACUUCUUCAUUUGCCUCUGAACUCUGCAGCCACUGGGGUUUGAGACCUACACAGAUGGACUUUUCUCUGAGGUACUCCUUCAAUCCUUGAUCAGACACCAGGAGGUCUCUGGAUGACUUAGAGCCAUUUCUGAUAAGAUGUCCUUUCCAUGCACCUUGUCCUGCAUGGAACCUGCAAGUUAAGUCCUGCAACCUGCACAAUGGAGAGAUGUCUGGUAGAAAACAGACAGACCAAGGUAGUCUGUUGCCCUCUGACUGCAGAAAGGCUUCCAGGGCUGAAGGGAAGGCUGUGACCUUGUACUACUUGCAUGGCAGGUAUCGAUUUCAAAGAAACUCAUCAGAAGAGAUUUGUCAGCCGUCGGAUGGAAUUUCUGGUCGAGACCAGAAGGAGAUGGCAAAGUUGGAGUAUCAGGUAGCGCCGCGAUCGGUCAGAGACUCACCUGGAAUGUGGAAAAUCAAGGUUCAGGCCUGGGGACUUGAACGUGAGAUUUACAGAGUGCCCUGAACGAGGCUUUUGAGUUGUUUGCUUGCUGUGAAUUUAACUGUUUAUGUAAAGUGGAGUCCUGCUAGUGAGCAGGAGGUCUUGAGACCUGAUGUGUCCCUGAUGUGUCGGACUAGACUAGGAUUUGAGGCAAUUUGUGGAAAAUGGGAGAGAGUGGCAAAGCAGGCAGCAACUGAGUGCUUUACUUACCCACCUUUUACAUACUCUGCUCAUCUCUCAUUCUUGUGUAUAAAAUUCAAAAAGUCUUGGUCCUGGAGAGGAAUGGGAACAUUUCUGAAGACUCAUAAUAGCUUUGCAAAAUGCAAAACCUGCUUCUCCCAUCCCACCGUUAUCCUCUUUGCCAUAGAAACAAAUUGCAAAAAUCCACUGAAUUCCUGGGAGCAAACUGUGACUCAUGUAAAAUGAUUUGUCAAUUACUAGGGAGUUUACUGGAUGUAAGGUUCAUUAUAAGUAUAAAAAUUGCAGUCUCUUAAUAAGACAGCUUUUAAAAAUAAAACGCUUUCUGAAUUUUAAGAAACUUUGUAAUAAUAUAAACAAGGCUUUUAAUCUUGGUAAUGUUAGUGGCAAAUUAUAUACUACAUCUAAUUUUAUCAGAUGAUAACAGUUGUAGUUUUUAUCUUCAAAAACAGGUUGUGAAUGCUUGAGGGGAAUAACUCUUCAUAGCAAAAGCUAAGUUAAUUUUGUGUUGUCUUAUGUUGCUGGCAGAGAAGCCUUUAUUUAGUUCAUCUCUUUUUCUGUUUUGUUUUUUUUUUCUCCAAAAAAAGGAGUAAUUUCAUGCAGCAGUUUAUUUAAAUACAGAAAAAAAAUCACAUUAGAAAGAUCUCUCAUUAUAAGCUUUCUGAAAGUUUGCUAUGCACUUUCAUGUAAAACUUGGCCUCAGUACAGAACUGCUGUACAAUCAUUUUCAUCUGAGAUUUGAACAUAUUGGAUGAACUAGAGCAGUUCUUUCUUCUAUCCUGUCAUUUUUUUCCCUUGGAAAUGAUGAGCAUAUGGCAACCACCCUUACUGGAUUCUCAAACAACAGGAGGGACCUUAUUUCGAUUCCUACAUCCUGUCAUCAGUGAAUCCCAUGAUAUUUUGUUCUUGCAAGGCUAAAGAUGUGAUUCGCAUUUGCCAUAAGGACAGAGCUUAAUGUGAUGCCAUUUUACCACAGGAGCCCUCAAUCAGUUAAUUAAACAUGAUAUAAAUCACUGCAUGUAUUUGUAAAGUAAGAUUAAUAUGGCAAAGUCAGAGUAAUGAGGAAUCCUCACCAUUGUCUGAGUGUGAAUCACUGAUACGAAGAUUACCCUUUUGAAACUGGAUAUCUUUGAGUGGGUUUUGUUGGCUUAAUCCCUCAGACCGCUUUGUGCAACUUGAAACCCAGACCUGUCAUCUUUAGCCAAAAUUUCAGCCAUAACUUCCUCAGCUUUCACCCAAUCAUUUAAAUCAGCAUUCAUAAUACUUAGAAAGAUCAAGCCUUUCAGCAUACCACAAGG